GCCGCCCUAGCUCAGCGGUAGAGCAACGGUUUUGUAAACCGUAGGUCAUCAGUUCAAAUCUGAUGGGCGGCU
rnacentral:tRNA from 1 species